AAAAACAUCCCUUCUGAGACACAGAAGGCAGCACACCACAGAACACUGGCUCCUUUCUACAGAAAAAGGAAACCAAGCAAUGGUCCUUCAGCAAGGCAAUAGGAAGCCAGUGAAGACUACGAAUGAAAGAUGAUUUGAUCAUAUUUUCCAUUUAUAAGUUCUGCAGCCAGUUCAUAGGACUCCAGGGACCUUAAGACUGAAGCACAUUCUACAAAUAAAGUCAAAUGCAGUGAGUAAUCUCAGCUCAGUGCAGCUGAGAGGGCACGGGUCAGGCCUGGAAGUCAUCAGAUGAAAAAUCAGACCAAAAAUUAAAAUGAAAAUACUGGCAGCUAGUGAAAUACCAAAAAACGACAAUUUCUUCACUUGGUCCUCCCUGCCUUUCCAGACCAUGAUCUCUCACGCUGCAUUCAACUUGCAAGGAGAUCCUUCUCUAUGCAGAGAUCAUACAGGACUUCAGGUGCUUGCGAGAGCAUAUGGUGUGUUCUUUGCCCCUGGGAACCUUCUCUUUCGGACAUCAGCUGAAUCCUUACAAGCCCUAGUGUUGCUUUAGUCCAGACUAAGUGGAUCACCGUCCAGGGAAUCAGACCUAUCGAUGACUCUCAAAAUUUCACUAAAGGGAUACUUAUACAAACAUCAAACUGCAGAGUCAUUUAUCAGCUCUGUGUGCAGAUAAAUAAUCAUCCAGGGAGAGGAUAUUUCAACCAGAAAAGAUAAGGAACUUU